rnacentral:tRNA from 1 species
AGGAUAAUAGUUAAUUAUAACAUUUAAUUUGCAUUUAAAAAGUACUAUUAGUAGUUUAUCUU